rnacentral:rRNA from 1 species
CGUGAGCGGCGGACGGGUGAGUAACGCGUGGGUAACCUGCCUCAUACAGGGGAUAACAGUUGGAAACGGCUGCUAAUACCGCAUAAGCGCACAGUACCGCAUGGUACGGUGUGAAAAACUCCGGUGGUAUGAGAUGGACCCGCGUCUGAUUAGGUAGUUGGUGGGGUAACGGCCUACCAAGCCGACGAUCAGUAGCCGACCUGAGAGGGUGACCGGCCACAUUGGGACUGAGACACGGCCCAA